GCUCUCUUUGGCAGUAUAUAUACUGAAACUGGGCCAAUACAGAGAAGAGUAACAUGGCCCCUGUGCAAGGACUUCAUUAAACGCUUUAAGUAAGAUAUCUGUUCU